GUUGUACGUCAUUCUUUCGCUAUAGCUGACAGAGGUCAGACAUGUUUUGUUGAGAACUGAAACGUUUCUAAACUCGGCUUGCAGUGUGAGAUGUUGAUUGUAUCCAUUCGUAGAGUAGAUACAGUAACCGGAGCACAGACAGAGAGACGUGGUGUGUGAUGUGUAAGUGCAGAAAGGGUUUGAUCCCAUCAGAUCAACCUGAAAUGUUCUGGUAUCUGUCCGUUAUAGGGAAUUGUAUGUAGAAGAAUGCUGGUAUUUACUGUAAUCAUCUGGUAAUAAAAGUAUAAAGAUCGAACGUCUUCUUGGAUGUGUUUCUGAGUACCAUAGAUACAGAUCCCAUGAUUACAAAUGGAGCCCCUAGUGAUAAACCAGUGAUACAUCAAUGUGUAUACAAGUGAUACACUAUGGCCAUGUCAGUGACACACUUUUAAUACAUUUAGUUUUAAAGAAAGUAUUUACAUACAACGAAACGGUUCUUCAAGAAAUCUAUUGAACUCCAGUGAACUUCAAUACUAGUGUUUUGAAGGUUUUCAACUUCUAGAUUGGUGCUAUUUAUAGAACAACAGUGACAGAGUGACAGUGAUUUUACAAGUUCAACUCUUGCAAAACAAGAACUGGGCAGGUACAAAAGUAAAGACACAGAAAACACAGAUUACAACAUACAGACAUUACAGUUUACAGAUUACAGUCAAGUCACAGCUGCUAACUAUUACAGUCACAGGUAUUUUUCAAGUACACAACAGAAAAUUGUUUGACCAGCAGCUGUGCAGACAUCAUAUAGAGAAUUUCAUCAUUGAACAUAUUUAUGAGAGUGAUUGAAAUCUAUAUUUCAUUCGUCACUGUUAGAAAAUAUUGUGAAUUUUGUCCGUGAUUGUGAUCAUUUUUUGUCUGUCAGGGUGUUUGAAAUAAAAUAUUUCUUGCAUCAUUACAAUAUAAUUGUGAUCUUGUCCGUUAUUGUGAUCAAGCUUCGUUCGUACUUGAAAAAGAAGCCUCAAGCACAGAAUUGAAAUUGUGAAGAAGCCUCAAGUUUCAUAAACUGUAUCAAGCUUCGUUCAGUUAUAACAUAGUGAAGUCUCAAACUUCACAGAUAGAAAGCCUCAAGCUUUAUACAUAUUAACGUCAAAAGUCAAAGAAAAGCCUCAAGCUUGUAAACUUUGUGAAGGUAAAAGAAGUUUCAUAGUGAAAGUUGAAUUACAGCCGAGGAAAAUAAUUAAGGCUAACAGACACUUGAAACCAAACUGGGUGAAAUAUUUAAGGUUUAGAGAUACCUGAAAUAACAAGUGAAAGAAUUAUUAAGGUACACGGACACCUGAAUGAUAAAUUUGAAUACUUAAGGUAUAUAGACACCAAUAUAGAAACUUGAAAAAAUUUAAGGUCUUUGUUCACCAAACGGCACUUAAUAAAGCUUAUGGAAGUGAAAAAUUAAGCAAAGUGAAAAGAAAUAGUUAGCUGAAUUGUGAAUUGAAACAUACAGAGUGAAAUAUAAGAAAACUGCUGAAAGUGAAAGAGAGAAUUGUCAACUUGAAACAUUGUCAAGUGACUGAUAGUGAAAGUGAAAUUUUGUAGAAAAGUUGAAAGUGAAAGUUGAAGUUUACGACAACAUAGUUGAAUACGGAUUGAAUUUGAAAGCAAGUGAUAAGAAGUAAUUCGUGAAUCCGGAAGAAAAUUGUGAUCAGUGUUAAAUAAAGAAUAAUUUACACAAAUAAAAAGUUUUGCAUAGCAAUGCAAUAAUUAUUGAAAUUGUAUUGAAAGAAACACAUUGAAGAUACACACAGGAAUUUGUGAAUUUGAAUGAAACUUGUGAUUAGUGCUAAUAAGUGAAAUAUUUAGCACUAAAGACUGCUUACACAAAUUAAAUCGACAUAAAAAAGUGAUUGAAUUCAUAUUGAAAUAAAAGUGAAGCACAGUUGAAAUACAUUUAGUAAAAUGUGAUGUGUUGAAAUUCGGAACAGAACAGAAUAGAACCGACAAGAAUAAUUUUGAAAAAAUAUUCAAUUGAAAUCGAACUUUAAGAAAAACUGCGAAUUAUAUAGUCGUAAGAAAUCAAACGUUAGCAAAAUAGUAAAUCAGAAUUUGAAAGAGAAGUAAAUAAAAAAAAAAAAUACUAGUUAGUGAACCAAAAUUUUUAGCGGAGACAGACACAACAUAGUUAUAUAAACUUGUGAUAAUAAGUCACAUUUUUCUGAAAUAUCACAAUUCUCCAGACAGAAUUUGAAAAAAAUAAAAACUUGCAUAUUUCUUUAAGAAAAUUUCUCAUUAUUUUAUUAUCGUGAAAAUAAGUUUCUGAUUAUUUUAUUAUUGUGUUUGAUCAACCAAAUUUUACUUUACACAGAAAUGCAAAAAAAAAAAAGAAACCUUGUGUAACGUUAAAUGUUAUUAAUUAUUCAUUAAUUUAAAAUAAAUUACUUUGUUUCCCCUUCUCACUAAUUGAUACACUUGAAAGGUAGACUGACUCUCCAAUAAACAAUAACCCUUGUUUAUUGGAACCAUACUGUGG